GCCUAACGGUCAGCUUGUACGUCGAUCGGGCGGUCUGCGGCCCGGAAGUGGUGUUGCCGAGCCGGGACCCUGUUUUCCCAAGUCUGUUUCUCCGACGUCGGCCCUUAAAACCUCCCCAUUUUUCGGACUCACCGCCGGCUCAAGACUCCUUACAGACGAGUUAAAGUUACUCCCUAUUUUGGGAACCUGUCUUAGGGAACGGGUAAUAGAGGGUGUCCCACCUCACGGUGGAGUCGUUUCCAAGUCCAGUGACGCGAACAGUCUUUCAUCCUCAAGAAAAGGGAAGACUGAGACUCGAUGGAGUGGGCAGACGUCUAAAGUUAACCGAACGGACCAGAACUUGUGUUCACUGAUGAUUGGGGAGGUACCCUGACACCGACCUGGGCGUGGGGAGCAAGAAUCGCCACAUUGUCGCAUAUUAGAUUUUCUGACGUUCAAACUAAAAUUUCAUAGUAUUUUGUUAAGCUUGAGCCGGAUACAUAUGAUGGCAUAUAAAGAGCUAAGGUGCCCUCAAUUUAUUUUCAACAAUUUGGUGGAAAUGGUAACUGCUAAACCCUACUUAACGUUCACAUGUGCCACUUGGCUGUUCCAAAUCUGUGUGGAGGCCGGGUAGGGAAGGAUCUCUUUUAGGGCGUACAGCUGGUAUCGUUGCCCUGGUCUAAGCCCUUGGGCAGCACCUUCAGUGUGAAUUUUAUGUGGAUGGUGGCCUUUCCUGUGCUCCUGGCAUUGUUGUCCAUGUGAUUGUGAUGUUUCACCUGUAGGCCUUCCUAGUCUGCAUGUGAGCAGUUUGAGGCAAAAGGAAACAGGUACAGAUCAGGUGCGUCUCCCAUGGGAGACCUGAUUAUUCUCAGGAGCCUGGGCCAGGAAGGAAGGACUGCUGCUACUUCCUUCACCUGGAGAUUCAGGGGGUCCCCUUGCCUGGCAGAGCAACUGGAUUUGAAAGCUGAUGGCUGAGGCUGAUUGACAGGUUGUCACAGAACACCAGGUAUGAGAUCCCUGCAUCAUAUGGAAAUUCCCAUGGCUAUUUUGCAUGUG
ensembl:lncRNA